CUGUAAUCUCUUAAGUUAUCAACAUAUAGUAUGUCAGGUUUUUAAGUAAUUACUAGACAAGAUGAAUAUCCAAUUUUUUUUCUAAAUUAAAUAAGGGCUUAAGAACCUGAAUUCUUUCUCUCAUCAGUGUUUCUUUUAAAAAGCAGCUGAUGACUCUCAAAAUAUAAAUCUGUUACCAACUAGAUGCAUUUACCUGUUGUGGAAUUAAGAAAUAGUCUAGGGGCGUGCAUGCAUGUGUCCAGGACUACCUCAACCACAACAAUCAAGCCAAGUCUCUGAAAUACGAGGGCAGGAGGGAUACCAACUUGUAGGUGGAAGAAACCAGAGCACAAUUAAAUAACCACAAAUGAAUGAGAAAUACAGACAUGCCAGUUGGCAGACACCAGCUCCAGUUCUAACAACAUUAAAACCAGUGAAACUAUGAAUUUUCCAACUCAGUCAAAAACAUAGUGUUCUAAGGAUGCUGAAAGAUGGGAU
rnacentral:lncRNA from 1 species